rnacentral:rRNA from 1 species
GACGAACGCUGGCGGCGUGCUUAACACAUGCAAGUCGAACGAUGAAGCCUUAUCUUGCUUUGGUGGAUUAGUGGCGAACGGGUGAGUAACACGUGAGCAACGUGCCCAGGACUCUGGAAUAACCUCGGGAAACCGUGGCUAAUACCGGAUAGGUUCCGAGGCCGCAUGGUCUUCGGUUGGAAAGUUUUUGCGGUUCUGGAUCGGCUCACGGCCUAUCAGCUUGUUGGUGGGGUAAUGGCCUACCAAGGCGACGACGGGUAGCCGGCCUGAGAGGGUGACCGGCCACACUGGGACUGAGACACGGCCCAGACGCCUACGGGAGGCAGCAGUGGGGAAUAUUGCACAAUGGGCGCAAGCCUGAUGCAGCAACGCCGCGUGGGGGAUGACGGCCUUCGGGUUGUAAACCUAUUUUAGUAGGGAAGAAGCGAAAGUGACGGUACCUGCAGAAAAAGCACCGGCUAACUACGUG